rnacentral:rRNA from 1 species
GGAAAUCUCACCAGGCCCGGACACUGGAAGGAUUGACAUAUUGAUAGCUCUUUCUUGAUUCAGUGGGUGGUGGUGCAUGGCCGUUCUUAGUUGGUGGAGUGAUUUGUCUGGUUAAUUCCGUUAACGAACGAGACCUUAACCGGCUAAAUAGUCACACGAUUCUCGAAUCGUGACUGACUUCUUAGAGGGACUGUUGGUGUUUAACCAAAGUCAGGAAGGCAAUAA